GGAGAGCAUGGACUCUAUUGCGGGAGCUGGCACCUGAGUUCAAUCAAAGAACUUUGUUUUUGAACCAAACUCCAUCUCACUCUACUGGCGCAAGCAACACCUGCCGGAGGACGUUUGAUGGGAGCCAACUCAAAAGGCGUGGUAACUGAAACCAAGGAACGUGAAACUUCAGAGAAGGGGGACCUACUCUACACAGCCCCAGUACUGGAGCCACCUUGGGGACACUGUGGAGAUUUUAUGAACCAGGAGAGACUAGAAAGGGACCAUCUCUACCUGUGAGGAGAGGAUGCUGCUCUUUGUCUCCCAUCUGCCUGCUCAUCAGCUUCCAGAAGCAGCAGAGACCUUGCAUCUUCUCAAUGACUCAUGUCAGGAGACACAUGAUAUUGACUGGUCCCGCCAGUGGUCACAACGUGCAUCACCUGGUCAUAGUGCUAACUACCAGAUUGCCCUACAGUGAGGUCACCGUUUUCCCUCUGUAGUUGAUGAGUCUUCGAGGGAGCAAGAGAAGUCUUAUGACCAUGAUAUGAUGGAUGAAUGGAUGAGAGGACUUAGGCUCAGAGAACUAUGCAGGGUUGCUCAGAAUGACAAAGUUGGUGGAGGGCAUACCCAGGAAUUAACCUGAAGUCUUCUGCCAUUAAAUUUUACAUUCUCGUCAUUACGUCAUCUGAGAGGGAAGCAGAUAAGUGUAAGAUUUGGCUAUGGUAUUGGAGAAAACUCUUGAGAGUCCCUUGGACUGCAAGGGGAUCCAACCAGUCCAUCCUGAAGGAGAUCAGUCUUCAAUAUCCAUUGGAAGGACUGAUGCUGAAGAUGAAACUCCA